AUUCAUAUAGUUUAAAAAAAACAUUACAAUUUCAAUGUAAAAUUAAACAUGGUUUUAUGAAUA
rnacentral:tRNA from 1 species